AAGGAUAAGAGUGUCUUAUCACACAUAAUAAAUUUUAGUUUUCAAAAAAUAAAAAAGAAAUGUAUUUUUCAAAAUUUAAAUAAAAAAUUUAGUAUUUUUCAAAAAUUAUCCCAAAAAAAAUCUGGUUUAAUAAUCAAAAACAAAUUCAAUAGGACAAAUAUAUAAUAAGAAGCAACAUAUAUAUGUGAUGAUUUGAAUUUACAACAUGAAAACUGUAAAAGCAUUAUAUUUAAAAUAAUUAUACAAAUAUUUAAAUAUGUGAGUAACAUUAAAAAUGUAUAUUGAUUGUGUAAAACAAAUAUCUAUAUAUAAACAUGAAAAUAUACAUCUGCACGGUUGUGCGGAUCAAAAUCUAGUAAUUUGUUAUUAGCAACUAAAUUAUGUAAAAGAAAUCUUUGGCAGCUAAUACUAUAAUCGGACACAGAAUAUUCGGCCAACAAAAGACUAUAUUAUCUAAUUAUUUUAUUUGUCAACUUAAAAAAGUCCAACAUCAAUAUGUUCUUUCAGAAAAUGGAAUUCUAUAAAAAAAAUAAAAAACUAAAAGUCUGUCAUUAAACUACAAAAUUAUCACAUUGGCUCCA
rnacentral:lncRNA from 1 species